GGGAAGCUUCAAAAGCUGCAAGCAUUGUAUUUGCAUCGAAACAUGUUAUCAGGACACAUCCCUCAAUCCUUAGGUAAUAUCACACAAUUAUAUGAGCUUUGGUUAGAAAGAAACAAAUUAGAAGGGAAUAUAACAUCAAGUAUCGCUCACUGCCAAAAUCUGCAUACUCUGAAUCUUGCAGAAAAUAACCUGACUGGUAUCAUACGCCAACAAAUUCUUGGUCUGAACUUUCUAUCAUUAAUUCUUAACUUGUCAUAUAACUCAUUGGCAGGUCCGUUACCCAGAGAAGUUGGCCAACUGAAAAAUAUUGGUGCAUUAGAUGUCUCGGAGAACAAAUUAUCUGGGGAAAUUCCUUGGACAAUAGGCCAAUGUUUGAGUCU
rnacentral:misc_RNA from 1 species